GAGUUUGAUUCUGGCUCAGGAUAAACGCUGGCGGCAGGCCUUACACAUGCAAGUCGAGCGGUAGCGAGUUUUGUAGCAAUACAAAAUGUCGACGAGCGGCGAACGAGUGAGUAACGCGUAGAUAUUUCUCUUUAGUAUCGGAUAGCUAGUUGAAAGAUUAGGUAAUACGAUAUGUGACCGCAAGGUUAAAGUUUUAACGCUAAAGACAAAGUCUGCGUCCCAUCAGCUAGUUGGUAGGGUAAUUGCCUACCAAGGCUAAGACGGGUAGCUGGUCUGAGAGGAUGAUCAGCCACGCUGGAACUGCGACACGGUCCAGACACCUACGGGUGGCAGCAGUGAGGAAUUUUCGGCAAUGGGCGCAAGCCUGACCGAGCCAUGCCGCGUGCAGGACGAAGGCCUUCGGGUCGUAAACUGCUGUGGUAGUCUACUAAUUUUGAAGAGACUACUAGAAAGAGGUUGCUAACUCUGUGCCAGCAGCAGCGGUAAUACAGAGACCUCAAGCGUUAUCCGGUUUCACUGGGCAUAAAGC
rnacentral:rRNA from 1 species